GACAGAGGGUGCAAACGUUGUUCGGAAUUACUGGGCGUAAAGCGCGUGUAGGCGGCCAUCUAAGUCGGGCGUGAAAUCCCACGGCUCAACCGUGGAAGUGCACUCGAAACUGGAUGGCUAGAGUCCUGGAGAGGAAGGUGGAAUGCUUGGUGUAGAGGUGAAGUUCGUAGAUAUUCGGAAGAACACCAGUGGCGAAGGCGACUUACUGGACACAUAUUGACGCUGAGGUGCGAAAGCGUGGGGAGCAAACAGG
rnacentral:rRNA from 1 species